rnacentral:rRNA from 1 species
CAGUCGCCGCGGGAAUACGUAGGUCCCGAGCGUUGUCCGGAUUUAUUGGGCGUAAAGGGAGCGCAGGCGGUUUAGUAAGUCUGAAGUUAAAGGCAUUGGCUCAACCAAUGUAUGCUUUGGAAACUGUUAGACUUGAGUGCAGAAGGGGAGAGUGGAAUUCCAUGUGUAGCGGUGAAAUGCGUUGAGAUCGGAAAGAACACCAACGGCGAAAGCACUCUGCUGGGCCGACACUGACACUGAGAGACGAAAGAUAGGGGAGCAAAUGGGAUUAGAUACCCCCGUAGUCCCUGUCUCUUAUACA